CACCCUCUGAGCAUUCACGAGCCUAGCCUUGACCGAGAGGUCCGGGUAAUCUUUGAAACUGCAUCGUGAUGGGGCUAGAUUAUUGCAAUUAUUAAUCUUCAACGAGGAAUGCCUAGUAAGCGUGAUUCAUCAGAUCGCGUUGAUUACGUCCCUGCCCUUUGUACACACCGCCCGUCGCUCCUACCGAUUGAAUGUGUUGGUGAGGAGUUCGGAUUGGCAGUUUGUGGUGGUUCGCCACUGCUUACAGCUGAGAAGUUCUCCAAACCGCCCCAUUUAGAGGAAGGAGAAGUCGUAACAAGGUUUCCGUAGGUGAACCUGCGGAAGGAUCAUUGAAUCGAUCAAAUCCACCAUGUGAACCGUUCUGUCUCCCACCCGGGACCCUCGCGGGGCCUUGGUGCGGCUGGGAUGCGUUCCCAGUCGGGCUCACCGCCCUCAAACACGGGGCGCUCCUAUUAACUUAGGCGUCUCGGGCGGCUGGGCUGGCGUUAUUCAAACACUCCACACCAAAACAACGUCUAAAGCUAUGUGCGUAUUGCCCCGUGCGAUACCGCCUAACCAAAGACAACUCUCAACAACGGAUAUCUUGGCUCUUACAACGAUGAAGAACGCAGCGAAAUGCGAUACGUAGUGUGAAUUGCAGAAUUCCGUGAACCAUCGAAUCUUUGAACGCAUAUUGCGCUCGAGGCCUCGGCCAAGAGCACGCCUGCCUCAGAGUCGG
rnacentral:rRNA from 1 species